rnacentral:lncRNA from 1 species
UAAGUUUACCUUCUUUCUUUCUUGACUUCUAACAUUUCUCUCAACUUUCCCUCUUCCUCCAACUUGACCUUCAACAUCCCCUCCAACUUUCCCUCCUCUUCUAAGUUGCCCUCUAAUUUGACAUCCAUCUUUAACUUCACCUACAUUCUAUCCAGAGGGAUAACUAUAGAAAGGAUUGGAUUAUCAAUAUUAUUUCUAAUAAAUAAGUG